rnacentral:rRNA from 1 species
UACGUAGGGUGCGAGCGUUAAUCGGAAUUACUGGGCGUAAAGCGUGCGCAGGCGGUGAGCUGUGUCCGAUGUGAAAGCCCCGGGCUUAACCUGGGAAUGGCAUUGGAAACUGGCUCGCUGGAGUGUGGCAGAGGGGGGUGGAAUUCCGCGUGUAGCAGUGAAAUGCGUAGAGAUGUGGAGGAACACCGAUGGCGAAGGCAGCCCCCUGGGUCAAGAUUGACGCUCAUGCACGAAAGCGUGGGGGAGCAAACAGG